AAUCUAAUUAGAAAUUGAUUGAACCAAAGUUCUGAUCAAAUCAGGGAUAAUUCUCUCUUAGCGAUUAGGUCAUCUAAUAACCUAAUCGAGUCAAACUUAAUUGAAUCUAAUUCAAUUAGAUUUUAUCUAAUCCUCUUUACUCAAUCAAAUUGAGCUAAUCAGUAAUCUAAUUGCUAAUUAAUCAUUCAUUAAUUCACUAAUACUCAGUGAAUAAAUUUAUUAUAACUUUUGC
rnacentral:lncRNA from 1 species